CAGGGACCUGGGAGGUGCAUCUGGCUGUGUGACCAGAAAGGAGAGGAUAGCUUGAUAUUGGAACACCAAUUUUGACAGUGGCCCGGAAUGAGAGUGCCUUUUUGGAAGCCUUGGCGUCCAGCAGAGAAAUGCCAGCACAUCUCUGGAGAACAAAACAAAACAAAACAAAAUCAGGAUUGGAUGCACUGAAGAGCUUAAGAAGAGCAAUUUAAUUUUACCCACAUCACCCCUCCCCAAGGUAGCACACCUCAGUGCAAAGAAAGACCUUCUCUGCCGGCGAUUUCACCCACCAGGGAAAGUGAGAGCAUGUGAGCGAGCUCCUGGCUUUCCCAGCUGUGCCGGAGGCUGCCAAAGAGACCCACUCCUUCCUGGCCCCGCCAGAAUACUGAGGGGUGCCGCAUGAUGGGGGAGGAGACGGACUCUGGAAGAACAGCAGCCUGGGCUCUCUGAGGGCAUCAAAGAAACGCAGAUCCUGCUGACUGCUUCUCCAGCUCCAUCAGGAAGCCUGCCCACAAGUCACUGGGGACGUCUUGCCUGCAGAUCCAUACAGAUACGGUAGAAAGGGCAACAUCUUUUACCCAAAUGGAAAAAACACUGGACUUCAGUCUGAAAACAAAGGGUUGAUUCUGACCUAAGGCAAGCCAGCGACGACACCUGUGAAAUGAGAACUAACUAUUUUCCUAUAGGAAAGGAAUUUUCCUCUUUAUUUCAACACAGCAGAGCAGAAUGCUUCUAGAUCAAUCUUCCUAAAACUUCCUCUAGUCAUGUUCUUUCAUGUACAAACACCUACAAGGGUUCCCCUCUCUCGGAAUCCGAGAUCUCCGUGCUCAGGGCCAAACCAGCCUUUCCCAGCUGACCUCCAAGACCUCCCCUGCCGCCUCUUGGGUUCCAAACUAACCUGAUAAUCUGCUUCCCGUGCUCGCUUGUUACUUUGCAUCUGUGCUCUCCCCACUCCGUCCACCUAGAGUGUUCCUUCUCUCAUAUGUGUCAGUUGAAUCCCAUCCAUCCUUCAAGGUCCAGGAUAAGUGCCUCUUUCUCUGUGAGAUUUCCUCUGAUCUAUCUGAAUCUCCCCAAUACUUGGGGACCUCCUCUUACAUCAAGUACUUUAUUGUUUAUAUAGUUUUCUCCCCAUCUCUAGAAGAAUUGAUGUUUUUCUCAAUAGUGUAUAUAUCUCCUUCAACUUUCUGUUUCCCCAUACAGCCUAGCAAGAUGGCUUUUACCUAGUAAAAAUACACUAUUUAUUACAUGUCUCAUGGACUUAAUAUGAAGUGAAUUAAAGACAUCACCGUUGUCAAUAAAAACCACCUUUGAAUGAGCACCUACUAUGUGCUAGACCCUGUCUUAAGAAAUUUUCAUGCAUUAUACCACUUAAUUGUGUCGUACAUAUUUCUAUACAAAUGAUACACUUAUCUUCAGUUUGCUUGGCUAUUUUAUAAUUACUUUAUAUUUGGCUAUUUUAUGUAUAACUCAAUAAUUCACUAAUUUGAAAUAUAGAACUUCCAAAAUUACGUAAAGUAUCAGAGGAAAUAAAAUAUAAACUUUCAUAUUUAGGCAGACUCAUGUUUAGGAAUUUCAUAUUUUUUAAUUAAAAAAACUU
rnacentral:lncRNA from 1 species